UACGAGGGGGGCGAGCGUUGUUCGGAAUUAUUGGGCGUAAAGGGUGCGUAGGCGGUUUGGUAAGUCUGAUGUGAAAUCUAUGGGCUCAACUCAUAGUCUGCAUCGGAAACUGCCGGGCUUGAGUGUGGGAGAGGUGAGUGGAAUUCCUGGUGUAGCGGUGAAAUGCGUAGAUAUGCGGAGGAACACCGAUGGCGAAGGCAAUCCCCUGGGCCUGCACUGACGCUCAUGCACGAAAGCGUGGGGAGCAAACAGG
rnacentral:rRNA from 1 species